GUAAACUUAAUUAUAUACAGUACUAAACGGAGUUGAUAAUUUUUUUCUGUUGUGUCUUAUAUGAUAUGAAUUAAAAUAGAAAACUAAACACUUUAAAUCACGAGAAUGAUCAACAGGGCAAUAGCUAGUAAUCAAAGUACUGAAGUACUGGACAUCGGAUGACCGCAAGUUCUUGUGGAUGGUCAAAAGCACAUGUCACAGAAAAAGAUCACAUUUCUAUACCCGAAACUGAGGUUAAUGUACAGAGAUAUAUUUUUUUCUGAGAAAAUUUUGUGUGUGGGUGAGGAAAAAGUGACAGGAAAUCCGACCGCA
rnacentral:lncRNA from 1 species